AUUGAACGCUGGCGGCAGGCUUAACACAUGCAAGUCGAGCGGAGAUGAGGUGCUUGCACCUUAUCUUAGCGGCGGACGGGUGAGUAAUGCUUAGGAAUCUGCCUAUUAGUGGGGGACAACAUUCCGAAAGGAAUGCUAAUACCGCGUACGUCCUACGGGAGAAAGCAGGGGAUCUUCGGACCGUGCGCUAAUAGAGGAGCCUAAGUCGGAUUAGCUAGUUGGUGGGGUAAAGGCCUACCAAGGCGACGAUCUGUAGCGGGUCUGAGAGGAUGAUCCGCCACACUGGGACUGAGACACGGCCCAGACUCCUACGGGAGGCAGCAGUGGGGAAUAUUGGACAAUGGGGGGAACCCUGAUCCAGCCAUGCCGCGUGUGUGAAGAAGGCCUUAUGGUUGUAAAGCACUUUAAGCGAGGAGGAGGCUACUGAGACUAAUACUCUUGGAUAGUGGACGUUACUCGCAGAAUAAGCACCGGCUAACUCUGUGCCAGCCGCCGCCGUAACAC
rnacentral:rRNA from 1 species